GGACAUCGGCGUGGUCACCAGCAUCGAGGUGAAUCACAAGUCGGUCGAGUCGGCCAAGAAGGGCCAAGAGAUCUGCGUGAAGAUCGAGCCGAUCCCGGGAGAGUCGCCCAAGAUGUACGGCCGACACUUCGAGGCCACCGACAUCAUCGUCAGCAAGAUCACGCGAGCCUCCAUCGACGCUCUGAAGAACUGGUUCAGGGACGAGAUGCAGAAGUCGGACUGGCAGCUGAUCAUGGAGCUGAAGAAGACCUUCGAGAUCAUCUGAGGGAACUCACACAAACAUGCAAAAACACACUCACACACUUCCUCCAUCGGCUGAUGAGGCGGCGGCGGCGGCGGCGGAGGGACAAAAAAUAAAGAAAAAAAACUGAGAAAAGACGUGAAAGUGUUUUUCUGUGAGAAACGAACACUUUUUCACUGUGCUCAGCAGUGACGGUCGCAUUUCACACUCAGUAUUCCAACGUGCCUGUUCUUCAGCAUCAACGUUGUUUCGAUUAUUUUUUCUUCUUCUUGUUCUUCGCUCUGAUUUGUGGCUGCUGCUUCCUGUCCCAGGCUCCGCCCACUUCCUCCCCAGACUGAAGCGAGGCCGACUCGCUGGCCAGCAGGUGCAUUGUGGGAUUGUGCCGAGCAGCGCCGCGCCUCCAGGAUUUUCUCUUUCACAGCGAAGGCGGCGUCAACUUUGCGGACUUUGACGAUUUGACUUUCACGUUGCUUUGCGGUUCGGCGGCCAUGUUGGAAGGUGGGCGGCGUGCGGGGGAGGGAGGGGAGGUGAAUGAUGGAGAAGAUUUUAAACUGUUUUUGCUGCAAGUGCUGAUGUAAUAAAUUCCCAUGAUUCUGAUGAAA